rnacentral:sRNA from 1 species
GCCGGGCAUGGUGAUGCGUGCCUGUAGUCCCAGCUACUUGGCAGGCUAAGGUAGGAGGAUGGCUUGAGCCCAGGAGGCAGAGGCUGCAGUGAGCUGAGAUUGUGCCUCUGCACUCCAGCCUGGGCAACAGAGCCAGACCCUGUCUUAA